rnacentral:rRNA from 10 species
UGUGAACUGCAGGACACAUGAACAUCGACAUUUUGAACGCAUAUCGCAGUCCAUGCUGUUAUGUACUUUAAUUUUUAAUUAGAGUGCUGCUUGGACUACAUAUGGUUGAGGGUUG